CUCUUCGGGGAUGAUUAAACCGGCGCACGGGUGAGUAACACGUGAGUGACCUGCCUUUUAGACUGGAACAACUUACCGAAAGGUGAGCUAAUGCCGGAUGAGUUAUAUAAGUGCAUGUUUAUAUAGGAAAAGUUGGGGAGACCUGACGCUGAAAGAUGGACUCGCGUCCCAUUAGCUAGUUGGUAGGGUAAUGGCCUACCAAGGCGACGAUGGGUAGCCGGCCUGAGAGGGUGGCCGGCCACACUGGGACUGAGACACGGCCCAGACUCCUACGGGAGGCAGCAGUGGGGAAUUUUGCGCAAUGCUCGUAAGAGUGACGCAGCGACGCCGCGUGAAUGACGAAGGCCUUCGGGUCGUAAAGUUCUUUCGACAGGGAAGAAAAUGCCUAUAAGUAACUGUGUAUGUAUUGACGGUACCUGUAUAAGCAGCCCCGGCUAACUCCGUGCCAGCAGCCGCGGUAAUACGGAGGGGGCGAGCGUUGUUCGGAGUGACUGGGCGUAAAGAGCACGUAGGCGGUGUUGUAAGUCAUUAGUCAAAGACUAGAGCUCAACUUUAGUAAGGCUAGUGAUACUAUAAUACUAGAGUAUCAGAGAGGAUUGCAGAAUUCCUGGUGUAGCGGUGAAAUGCGUAGAUAUCAGGAGGAAUACCGUUAGCGAAGGCGGCAAUCUGGCUGGAAACUGACGCUGAGGUGCGAAAGCGUGGGUAGCAAACAGGAUUAGAUACCCUGGUAGUCCACGCUGUAAACGAUGGAUGCUAGGUGUUGGGCUUUUAAGCUCAGUGCCGCAGCAAACGCGAUAAGCAUCCCGCCUGGGGAGUAC
rnacentral:rRNA from 1 species